UACAGAGGGUGCAAGCGUUAAUCGGAAUUACUGGGCGUAAAGCGAGCGUAGUCGGUUAUUUAAGUCGGGUGUGAAAGCCCCGGGCUCAACCUGGGAAUUGCAUUCGAUACUGGAUAGCUAGAGUUCGGCAGAGGGAAGCGGAAUUUCCGGUGUGGCGGUGAAAUGCGUAGAUAUCGGAAGGAACAUCAGUGGCGAAAGCGGCUUCCUGGACCAGAACUGACGAUCAGGCUCGAAAGCGUGGGGAGCAAACAGG
rnacentral:rRNA from 1 species